AACGAACGCUGGCGGCAUGCCUAACACAUGCAAGUCGAACGAGACCUUCGGGUCUAGUGGCGCACGGGUGCGUAACGCGUGGGAACCUGCCCUUAGGUUCGGAAUAACUCCCCGAAAGGGGUGCUAAUACCGGAUAAUGUCUUCGGACCAAAGAUUUAUCGCCUUUGGAUGGGCCCGCGUUGGAUUAGCUAGUUGGUAGGGUAAAAGCCUACCAAGGCGACGAUCCAUAGCUGGUCUGAGAGGAUGAUCAGCCACACUGGGACUGAGACACGGCCCAGACUCUUACGGGAGGGAGGAGAGGGGGAUAUUGGACAAUGGGCGAAAGCCUGAUCCAGCAAUGCCGCGUGAGUGAUGAAGGCCUUAGGGUUGUAAAGCUCUUUUACCCGGGAUGAUAAUGACAGUACCGGGAGAAUAAGCACCGGCUAACUCCGUG
rnacentral:rRNA from 1 species